rnacentral:rRNA from 1 species
CCUACGGGUGGCAGCAGUGAGGAAUCUUGGUCAAUGGGCGCUAGCCUGACCCAGCAAAGUAGCGUGAAUGAUGACUGCCCUCUGGGUUGUAAACUUCUUUUAUAUGGGAAAAAAAUGGAGUAUGUAUACUGCUUUGCAUGUACCUUAUGAAUAAGGAUCGGCUAACUCCGUGCCAGCAGCCGCGGUAAUGCGGAGGAUCCGAGCGUUAUCCGGAUUUAUUGGGUUUGAAGGGAGCGUUGGCGGGUUGGUAAGGAAGUUGGGAAAGUUUGGGGCUCAAACGUAAAAUUGCAGUUGAUACUGGUAUCCUUGAGUACAGUAGAGGUAGGCGGAAUUCGUGGUGUAGCGGUGAAAUGCUUAGAUAUCACGAAGAACUCCGAUUGCGAAGGCAGCCUGCUGGACUGUAACUGACGCUGAUGCUCGAAAGUGUGGGUAUCAAACAGGAUUAGAUACCCCAGUAGUC